AGGUCUACAUCCUAUUGACUGGAGACACUAAUGCUAGUAUUUAACCCUAUAACAUUGGUCUUGAAGGUUUGUAUUACAAGAUAGAGAAAAUUAAAUCACUCUAAGAUCCAACUUUUUGUUUUGCAAACAGAAUGCUGGAAUCAUUCUGUGCCCUUCCCCGCCAUUGUGACUUGCCUUUACUCCCCAUCACCUCUUCCAUGGGACUUCAGAAAGAACCUGACCAACCAUUUGAUGAUUGGAGAGGAAUUGUGCCAACAAAAUCUUUCCAUUUACCUUGUGUCUCCAGUUGGAGUUUCUCUGGAUCAUCAGGAAUGUUUCAAAACUACUGUACUCCAAAUGUUUAGAAUGCAUCGGAGACAUAUUACCAUGGAGAGAACAGGAGUUUGAAGACACUGAAAGAACCAGUGGCAGCUGGAGAGAGUGGAGAGAAAGGUUUUAAGAGAAGAGAGGAGAGGUGAAACAUUAAGGCAGAAGGACUGUGAAAUGCGGAUGUAUAAGUACGUGGAGGAUGAAAAGAACAAAUUCUGGACUCCUUAGAACAAAAACUGAUACUGGCUUUGC
rnacentral:lncRNA from 1 species